rnacentral:rRNA from 1 species
AUGCAUGCAAUCUUGAAAGGCGCAUGGGGAGGGAGCCUGCUGGCCGAUGUGGUUCUGUUUGCACGUUACCACCUCGUUGUCGUCAAGGAUGGAAGGUGGUCUGAUUCUGUCGGGCAAUUUAACUUCAUAUCCUUCUGUGUUCACAGCAGAAAGAGGGGCCUCAAGGGAAGAAUAGCCCGUUUGAUUAGGCUUCGGGACAUGUGGGACAAAGCUCGCAACACCAAACGUGCCAAGCUUUCACCUGCCGUGAAGGAGUUCAUAUGGGACUUGCUCAGAUGUGAGAAGAGUCAGAUGGUACAAAUUGAAGACGUAGCCAUCCGGAGUGGGUACUGGGCUCGCAGGUUCAGGGGCUUCGACCACACUGAAGACCUCGAUUGGAGCAUGAGUUUUGAAUUUCAGAAGAGCGUGCUUAUCUGGCAUUUAGCCACAGACGCCUUCCUGAAUGACCCUGCCGUGAAAUCAAAGCUGGUCAACAAGGACAAGGACAUAGCUGAAGCAGUGCAUACUCUCUCAAAUUACAUGAUGUACCUCCUCAUUGAGCACCCUGGCAUGCUGCCCGUCAAUGCAGCUGCUCGAGACCUGUUUCGCCAAACCUGCACCUCUUACAUGCAAGGAUUCACUAGUGCAUGUAAUCUUGAGUCGCGGAUAGUUAGGCUUUACGAGGAAGGGACUCAUCAGGGGAUAAGUGAACUAUGUCGUGACUUGACGCAAGCCAGUUGGGAUGCUUACCCGGGCGAAGCUGUGCGGGUGAAAUCAUGGGCUCUUGCUCACAUAAUGCUCAAAAAUGGAGCUGGGACUGACACAUAA